rnacentral:lncRNA from 1 species
CUCUACUCCAGAGUCACACACUGAUUUGGACUUCCUGGAUCUUAGUACUCAGAGAGUCAAUGCAGUACACAAAAUGAAACCAAAUAAUGUCAGGUAUGAUCUGAAAAGAAUGGGCCUAAGAGACUCAUUCCCUAUCCCAUCCUACUAAAGAAAAUAGUAAACGACCCAACUACAGCAGACUCAGGGAAGAGGGAGCCACAUUCAUAUUUUAGAUAAAACCCUUUUGUUUCUCCAUUUAGAGUUUUUCUCUUGAAACUUUUGUUCAAUCAUGUGUCCUUGAGAAUGCCAUUCUACUCCUUUACACACUGGCAGCUUGCUCAUCUUUGAAUGGCAAGGUAUCAGGGUGGGGAGCGGACUGGAAAUGAUGUCUGAAACUCCCUCUAGAGGUUAAUUAGGUGGGCAACAUUCUUGUUACCUGAUUCUCUAUUGCUGCAACCUAUUUAAGUCCACAGAUAACUUCCUUGAGAGUAGAGUCACAUUGUCUGGCUGUCAAAUAGGAUCAGUUAACCAAUGAACUUAUAAUCAUCCACAAGGAGUUACCUAAUUAGGAGUAAGAAAUUAAGUUCAGUGUUGUUCCUUGGCACUAACCCUGACACUACUUCAAGAAUAAUAAAGUCUUAAAAAUCAAAGACAGGACUGACCAUUUAAAUUAUGUGAGCAUUUACUCAACACAACUGGCAUUUACCAAUAAGUGAGCAUUUACCCAGCACAAUAUCUACACACAAUUGCCA